GUUUACUCCGAAUUUAUCUUAUUUGGAAAAUCAAUAUGUAUAAGAAAAAAUUUAUUGGAUAGCUUGUAAAAAAGAAAUCAUGAAAAUAAUUUUGAAGAAGUUUAUACCAUAAAAUACGAUUUUUGUUUCGCACCUCUGUCAAAUAAGGAAAUAAAGUAUUGAACGUCAGAUUAACGAUUUCGUGCAGCGUUUUCAGCAAGAGGAAAUUAUUGUGAAUUAAUAUUUCCCAGAAAAUUUCAAAUAAUUGCGAGAAUUGAGAUUAAAAAUUGUCAAAAAAUUAAAGAGAAUAUUAUUAAAAUUGCAAUUUUUAUUCUUAAUCUCUCGCCACAAUAAAAACUAUUCACAAUAAUCAAUUCAAAUAUCGUUUUGACAUAACCUAUAACACAAUCAGUGAAUUUCUGAACGGAAGUGAAUAAUAAUUAAUAAAAAAACAA